ensembl:lncRNA
CUGUGUCGAGCCCAUAUGAGCUGUGAACCGGGGGUUGGGAACCCGGUGACAACUCCAAACGAGACGACCUGAGACGUACGAUGAACGCCUUGCAGACGAUGCUGCCGGCCGGAGGGGAGGGGAACUAGCCCUGUGGCAGCGUCUCGCACACCCACACCCCUGACUUGCAUACACACACACACACCCACACAGAUACACACACACACACACAGACACACACACACACAAACACACACACACACACACAGACACAGACACAGACACAGACACAGACACAUACUCACACACAGACACAGACACAGACACAUACACAUACUCACACACAAAACCACACACAAGGAUCUGAGGACGGUUGAGCCGGGCCAAGCCGGGGUUAAGAUGUUGAAGACAGAUAUUAGUCCUUACUGAGGCGGCCAUAGAGAGGAACAAGAGAGAGACAGCCAAUGAGAAAGAGAUCUUUUGUAAUUCUCAAGCCCUCUCUUGUGUCUGGUUCAAAGACGCUUCCCAGGACCUUCUUGAAAGUAGAGGGUGUGUUUUCUUCUUUUUUUUUUUUUUUUAAAGAGGAAACUCCAUUUGGCUUCUGCGGAGGUGUCUCAUUUUGGCAGGUUCUUCCCCCACUCUCUCACUCACUGUGCCGGGACCUCACGUGUGUGUGUGUGUGUGUGUGUGUGUGUGUGUGUGUGAGUGUGUGUGUGUGUGGUCUCACUGGGUUGUCCAGAGACUGACUUUUUUCAUCAUUAUUGUAUGUGAAGCAGAAGAUCCUCCUCUGUCUCCAUCAGAGCUUUCUCCCUCUCUGGCAACUGCAGCACAGGAUGUGGACUCUCACCCGAGUGCUCUCGCACAUGCUGCUGCUGCUCUGUGGACUAAAGCUGAUGCUGGCUGCCGAGGACCACAGAGUGAGUAUCUGCAGGCGAUGCAUUUUUGUGCUUAAAUGACUUUGUGUACUAAUCAAUGGAAUCUAUCAAUCUGCUUCCUGGGAUGACUCAGAACCUGUACAGAAAGGGACUGUCUGGGCUGCAAUACAUAUUGUACUAGAAUUGGGUUUGAACCACUUUUCGAUGAUUUCCAAAUCUGUCCAAUGUUUCUUUUUUUUCAAAGAGAUCAGUUGUGGAGCGUAUGUUGAAAUGGACUAUGUUGAUUUUGUGUUAAUGAAUGAAGUGAGUGUGCCUACUGUACAUGGGAAUGAAAGCUCUGUUUGCUAUCUUGAAUGGGUGGACUGAUCUUUGUGUGAUUUCAGUCACAUUCACUUGCCUUGGGCUUUCCUUCACUUUCGCUUGCUGUUGCUUGUGUAAGGAAACGUUCCAUGUGAAACAGCUUAAUGUCUUAGGCGUAAAGAGGAACUGUUGCCAAGGAGACCUGUGUGCGAUCUCUUCAACAGUCUGCAUUUGUGUUUCUCAAUUUUUUUUUCCAGACUGUCUAUCUCUCACUCCCCCGUCUCCUCCCCUCUCUCUCUCUCUCUCUCUCUCUCUUUCUAUUUCUCCUUCCUCUCUCUCUCCCAUUUCUUUUUCCCCUCUCCCUGUCACCCUUGGGGCCCCUCACGUCAUUAGUGACUCUGUCUCCCUCUCACACUUACAGGAGGAAAUCUGUUUCUAUCUUCUAUUCUCAUUCUCUCUCUCACUCUCUCUCUCUCUCUCUCUCUCUCUCACACACACACACACACAC